GAUGAAUUGUAAGUGUCGAGGUUAUGGUUGGAGAUAAAAGUAAUCUACACAGAGCAUUCUGCAAAAGAUACAAGUAGUGAACUGGCUUUUGAAAUUCCGCAUGGAGAAUAUGUCCCAACAACCACGAAUUACAUCCAGACAGCGCCAUCUACCAGUAGCACUCCAAACUGCAAAAGCGAAGCGAAAGCAGAAGAAGCUGUGCGAACUGGAGGACCACCACAAGCUCUGGGCUGAAGCGUGAGCACAUUUCCAAGACGAAGCAUAAAUACAUGCAUGAGUUACUGAAUCAGCUUGGGGAUUUGAAUGUGUUCUAAGAAGUCAAAGAGAAAAAUCUGCUUACAAACAUAAACAAUAAAGAGUUGUAAAUAUUAGUUAUUUGCCUCAAGGUAUUUCUUUUUU
rnacentral:lncRNA from 1 species